rnacentral:rRNA from 1 species
AUACGGAGGGGGUUAGCGUUGUUCGGAAUUACUGGGCGUAAAGCGCGCGUAGGCGGACUGAUCAGUUGGGGGUGAAAUCCCAGGGCUUAACCCUGGAACUGCCUCCAAUACUGUCAGUCUUGAGUUCGGGAGAGGUGAGUGGAAUUCCUAGUGUAGAGGUGAAAUUCGUAGAUAUUAGGAAGAACACCAGUGGCGAAGGCGGCUCACUGGCCCGAUACUGACGCUGAGGCGCGAAAGCGUGGGGAGCAAACAGGAUUAGAAACCCUAGUAGUCC